rfam:Oryza nivara chromosome 2, whole genome shotgun sequence.
AAUAAGUGCAGUUUUAGCACUGUUCAUGUCCAACGUUUGACCGUUCGUCUUAUUUGAAAAAAGAUUAUGAUUAGUAUUUUUAUUGUUAUUAGAUGAUAAAACAUGAAUAGUACUUUAUGUGUGACUAAUUUUUUUAAUAUUUUUCAUAAAUUUUUCAAACAAGACGGAUGGUCAAAACGCUUAGCACGCAUAUCUAUGACUGCAUUUAUU